GGGAUCACAGCUUCUCCCUUGCAUCUUUUCUGGCAGUUUGAGGGUUGGUGCAGACAUUUUGCUCUCCUGCUCCCCAGUCCUGGUGGUCCAGAGAAGAGCCCUCACUGCUUUCCCUUUCAUUCCACAGCCGCAUGCACUGACUCCGUGGCUCCAUCACCACGCUCUUCAUUGUCCAGUGACAGGCUGCUGGCAGUGGGACUCCACUCCAAUUAUCUCUUCCAUCGUAUCCCUUGAAGCCAGGCUCCAAGGACAACUUCCUUGCCAUGGGGACCUCACCUGAAGAAGAGUUUUUUGUGCAAGUUGUGCUGCUUCUCACAACAUUUGGCCAGCACAACCUCGCUGGCACUUACCCUGCUGCAUGGGAAGCCGAGCUGCACACCCAAGCUGUGAGAUCCUCCUGAGAGAAGCUGCUAUGCACAAAUAAAGAAUGUUGGAGAAAGGAUAAGGGGAUGAGGCAGGUGUGUGUGGGCUGAAAUGGAAAGCCAGGGGCUGGUGUGAUAGAUUUAUGACAAGACUGGAGGAGAGGCUGAGGAGAUCUACUUAUUAUAAUUUAAAAAAUGGUCCCAUCAAAAGACUGCCAAGAGUG